UACAGCUUAUUGCUGUUAGGCUAGAAACAUGUACAGCAUGAUACUGAACUGAAUAAUGUAGGCAACAGUAACACAAUGAUCUUUGCAUGGAUGUGUUCUUCAUUUAUCAUGGUACAUUCCUAGGAGUGGAAUUGCUGUGUCAUAUGAGAAGAAUAUAUCCAGGCUGAUCCAUCAAUCCCAGAAGGAGAACAAGAAACACAUGGAGCAGAGCUAAGUUACCCAGCCUAGCUCAGCCUAGAUCAGCAUCCUGUAACAGGCCCCCAGCCUUGUGGGCUAAAUAAACAUGUGUUGUUGUAUGUUACUGUGUUGUUUUUACUUAGCACUCUGUGGCAAUAGCUGAUAUACCUUCUGUGAUCGCCCUGUUUAAAAUUUAAUGUGCACAAGAUAUAAAACCCAAAAUGCACAGAUGUGUUAGUAUCACAUCAUCUAUAAGAUUCUCUUUAAUUUACUGACCAUUUUAAAAUUUAGUACAUUACUCUUCUUUUUUGGCAAAAAGGCACCCGACUUGCAUGGUUUUCUGUGAGAACUAAGCUUUUGCAUGACUUGUUCAUGCCUUUGUAUCCAAUCAGAGCAACACUGACAGCAGAUGCUUUGGAUAUAAUUUCCCAUUCAUCUUAGUUUUUUCUUCACAACAUUUGAUUCUUGCAGUUGCUGGAAUGAUUUCCAGAAUGAGAUUCAUUGUAUAAGCUUUGAGUCAGGAAUUUUAGCAUUUUAGAAUAAACAAAUGCACACAGAUUGUUCCUAAAGAACAGGCUUAGGGCCCAGAAAUUACAGUACUCCAAUCAUUCUCUUGCCAUUUUUAGUUACUUCAUAGCUUGGUAAAAUAAGCUGUUUCCAGGCAUUCCAUGCAUUUUUUUGUCCCUAGUUCACCAGCCCUUUUCCACAGUUCUCUUGGGUAUUCUCUUUAGAACUUAAUAUUUAAGCAUGGAUAUAAAAACAAUUUGCAACAUGAGAUUUAGCUGUGUGUGCAAAAUUUUAUUUAUUUAUUUUUUUACAUAUGGUUGAGAGAGUUCAUAGCUUUU
rnacentral:lncRNA from 1 species